GAUGAACGCUAGCGGCAGGCUUAACACAUGCAAGUCGAGGGGCAGCAUGAGGGUUAGCAAUAACCCUUGAUGGCGACCGGCGCAAGGGUGCGUAACGCGUGAGCAACUUGCCCGUUUCAGGGGGAUAACCGGUGGAAACGCCGACUAAUACCCCAUAGUAUUGAUUUUAGGCAUCUUUAAUCAAUUAAAGAAUUUCGGAAACGGAUAGGCUCGCGUGACAUUAGCUAGAUGGCGGGGUAACGGCCCACCAUGGCGACGAUGUCUAGGGGUUCUGAGAGGAAGGUCCCCCACACUGGAACUGAGACACGGUCCAGACUCCUACGGGAGGCAGCAGUGAGGAAUAUUGGUCAAUGGGCGCAAGCCUGAACCAGCCAAGUAGCGUGAAGGAUGACUGCCCUAUGGGUUGUAAACUUCUUUUAUACGGGAACAAAUGUGGGUACGUGUACCUAUUUGCGUGUACCGUAUGAAUAAGCAUCGGCUAACUCCGUG
rnacentral:rRNA from 1 species